rnacentral:rRNA from 1 species
GACGAACGCUGGCGGCGUGCUUAACACAUGCAAGUCGAACGAUGAAGCUGGAGCUUGCUCUAGCGGAUUAGUGGCGAACGGGUGAGUAACACGUGAGCAAUCUGCCCUUGACUCUGGGAUAACUGCGGGAAACUGUAGCUAAUACCGGAUACUUUCACCGGGGGGCAUCCUCUGGUGAUGAAAGAAUUUCGGCCAGGGAUGAGCUCGCGGCCUAUCAGCUUGUUGGUGAGGUAACGGCUCACCAAGGCGACGACGGGUAACCGGCCUGAGAGGGUGACCGGUCACACUGGGACUGAGACACGGCCCAGACUCCUACGGGAGGCAGCAGUGGGGAAUAUUGCACAAUGGGCGCAAGCCUGAUGCAGCAACGCCGCGUGAGGGAUGAAGGCCUUCGGGUUGUAAACCUCUUUUAGCAGGGAAGAAGCGAAAGUGGCGGUACCUGCAGAAAAAGCACCGGCUAACUACGUGCCAGCCGCCGCAGUAA